rnacentral:rRNA from 1 species
GCUUACGGCCAUACUGCCCGAUCUUGUCUGAUCUCGGCAGCUAAGCAGGGUUGGGCCUGGUUAUUACUUGGAUGGGAGACCGCUUGGGAAUACCAGGUGUUUUAAGCU